AAAUUGAAGAGUUUGAUCAUGGCUCAGAUUGAACGCUGGCGGCAGGCCUAACACAUGCAAGUCGAACGGUAACAGGAAGCAGCUUGCUGCUUUGCUGACGAGUGGCGGACGGGUGAGUAAUGUCUGGGAAACUGCCUGAUGGAGGGGGAUAACUACUGGAAACGGUGGCUAAUACCGCAUAACGUCGCAAGACCAAAGAGGGGGACCUUCGGGCCUCUUGCCAUCAGAUGUGCCCAGAUGGGAUUAGCUUGUUGGUGAGGUAACGGCUCACCAAGGCGACGAUCCCUAGCUGGUCUGAGAGGAUGACCAGCCACACUGGAACUGAGACACGGUCCAGACUCCUACGGGAGGCAGCAGUGGGGAAUAUUGCACAAUGGGCGCAAGCCUGAUGCAGCCAUGCCGCGUGUAUGAAAAAGGCCUUCGGGUUGUAAAGUACUUUCAGCGGGGAGGAAGGUGUUGUGGUUAAUAACC
rnacentral:rRNA from 2 species